AAACAAUGUGCUAUACUUUGGCCAGGGAACCAGACUGACAGUGCUAGAAAAGGGACACAUUAUCACACCCCCAACUGUGACCAUAUUCUCUCCAUCCAAAAGAGAAUUGGAAGAAAAGCAGAAAGCUACAAUUGUUUGUUUGGCCACUGAUUUCUAUCCAGAUCACAUCAUUCUUACAUGGUUCCUUAAUAACAAUGUUAUAACAGAGGGAAUAAAGACAGAGGAGCCCAAAUAUGAAAAUAAGAAAUAUUCACUGAUCAGCCGUUUAAGAAUCACUGGGAACCAGUGGCAGAAUUCAAAAAACCAUUUCAAGUGCAAAGUUGAUUUCUACAAUUCUUCUGCAAGCACAAGUUACAACGCUUCCAUAACUGGAGAAGAAUGUGACAGCGAGACCCCCACAAAUGAAUCGUAUCUCAGACAAACCAAUCUUGGAAAACUGGUGUAUAUUCUUCUCAUUUUCAAGAGUGCCUUGUAUGGGGCAUUUAUAAUGUGUUUGAAAAUAAGAAAAAAGUCCUGUGGCAGUUGAUACAACAGAAGCAUUUUACCUGGGAACAUUAUAUCUGAGUUGAAUGAAUGCUGGAGAAAAAAGAAUGAUUCUUGCCUUUAAAAGUCCAAAGUGGCUUUUUAAUUCUUUUUUUUAAAAUAAAAAAUAUUUGGUUGUUCCCAACUU